rnacentral:rRNA from 1 species
UGGGGAAUAUUGCACAAUGGGCGCAAGCCUGAUGCAGCCAUGCCGCGUGUAUGAAGAAGGCCUUCGGGUUGUAAAGUACUUUCAGCGGGGAGGAAGGGGUUAAGGUUAAUAACCUUAGCCAUUGACGUUACCCGCAGAAGAAGCACCGGCUAACUCCGUGCCAGCAGCCGCGGUAAUACGGAGGGUGCAAGCGUUAAUCGGAAUUACUGGGCGUAAAGCGCACGCAGGCGGUCUGUCAAGUCGGAUGUGAAAUCCCCGGGCUCAACCUGGGAACUGCAUUCGAAACUGGCAGGCUUGAGUCUCGUAGAGGGGGGUAGAAUUCCAGGUGUAGCGGUGAAAUGCGUAGAGAUCUGGAGGAAUACCGGUGGCGAAGGCGGCCCCCUGGACGAAGACUGACGCUCAGGUGCGAAAGCGUGGGGAGCAAACAGG